rnacentral:rRNA from 1 species
AGAGUUUGAUCAUGGCUCAGAAUCAACGCUGGCGGCGUGCCUAACACAUGCAAGUCGAACGCGGUUACCCCGCAAGGGGUAACUGAGUGGCGAACGGGUGAGUAACACGUGGGUGACCUACCUUCGAGUGGGGGAUAACGUCCCGAAAGGGACGCUAAUACCGCAUAACAUCCCGUCCUUGAACGGAUGGAGAUCAAAGCCGGGGAUCGUAAGACCUGGCGUUUGAAGAGGGGCCCGCGUCUGAUUAGCUAGUUGGUGAGGUAACGGCUCACCAAGGCAACGAUCAGUAUCCGGCCUGAGAGGGCGGACGGACACACUGGGACUGAGACACGGCCCAGACUCCUACGGGAGGCAGCAGUGGGGAAUUGUUCGCAAUGGGCGCAAGCCUGACGACGCAACGCCGCGUGGAGGAUGAAGGUCUUCGGAUUGUAAACUCCUGUUGCCCGGGACGAAAAGCUUCAACCUAAUACGUUGAAGUCUGACGGUACCGGGUGAGGAAGCCCCGGCUAACUCUGUGCCAGCAGCCGCGGUAAUACAGAGGGGGCAAGCGUUGUUCGGAAUUACUGGGCGUAAAGGGCGCGUAGGUGGCCUGCUAAGUCGAACGUGAAAUCCCUGGGCUCAACCCAGGAACUGCGUCCGAUACUGGUUGGCUUGAAUCCGGGAGAGGGAUGUGGAAUUCCAGGUGUAGCGGUGAAAUGCGUAGAUAUCUGGAGGAACACCGGUGGCGAAGGCGACAUCCUGGACCGGUAUUGACGCUGAGGCGCGAAAGCCAGGGGAGCAAACGGGAUUAGAUACCCCGGUAGUCCUGGCCCUAAACGAUGAAUGCUUGGUGUGGCGGGUAUCGAUCCCUGCCGUGCCGAAGCUAACGCAUUAAGCAUUCCGCCUGGGGAGUACGGUCGCAAGGCUGGAACUCAAAGGAAUUGACGGGGGCCCGCACAAGCGGUGGAG